UUACAGGCCUUAUUCCCGGAUUGGGUCUUGUGAGCACAAACCUGGAGACAUACAAGAUCAAUGAGAUGUGAUCGUUGGUAGUAACUAAGGUGGUUUGGUGUUUCAUGAAGUUUUACAGAUUGGUGCUCAUGCCGUGGUGGUAUGCCAGCUGUUGCAGCAUGCAUUAGCAAUCAACGCCAGGACUCCAUAAAAACCCAAAGAGAAGCAGAUGAACAAUGAAGAUAUGCAUAUACCGAGCAUGUAGUGGCAACCUGCAAGUUGCCGGCAUUCUUCAGGGAACUCUGAAGCAUGUGGUUCAAGUAAAUAUUGUACGGUCAGGGAAAAUCUUUGCAUAUUCAGGAGCAGACCGCAAGCUGCUGGUGCAAAAACACAAUUGGUACCGUACAGCAGGCAAAGCUUCACUACAGAGUUCUGCAUAGGGAUAUGCAUUUUGCAAAGGUUUGAUGCAUGAUUGCAGAUGCGUGUAGAUUUCAGCUUGUGCAAGAUAAAAAAAUGAAGAAUGAAUGGCCAUUUUGAAUCACUUGGUGACAUAAUAAUUCGUGGGAUGUAAACUUUGUCACCAAUGAAUUUGACUCAUGAUGUAGGUGUUAAUCUAGUCAACAGUCUCGUUCCUUGGGCACAGGAUCGCUCUUUCCUCUAGGUCUUCUGGGAUGCUAACGCAGUCUUCAUCAUCUAUUGUUGCCGUUGUGCCAUCGCCGAUGUUUAGUAUCCAGUUUGCAAAUUCAGUUGUCUUUGCUUUCUCUUCUGGACUACCUUCGGAUGAAUUCAGACGCAUAUUUUCUGAUUUGUCUGAAGUCACCUCCCAAGACUACUGUCAUUCCUCCAAACGGUCUAUGCUCGGCAUCCUCAUUUGUGAAUUGAAAAUCGAACUAUCUGGUAGUGGCAUUCCUGGAAAUUCUUUGAGGGACUUACCACCUUUAGCCAAUAGGUGUUCGAUCUCUGCCAAGAGGAGGCUCUUUAUUUGCAAUGAGAUCAGUCACCUCGCAAAAUAAAAGUAUUGUGCAGAAAAGUUGGCGCAUUUGAGGAGCAGAGGCCCAAUGGGAUGCUUCCUUGAUGCAGUCAUCCCACUCCUUGUCGUCAUUAAGUAGCCCAAGAGAAUAACAUGCAGAUUUGUAUGUUGGAUGUACAACCCCAUCAACUGUUCGGAUUUCUUCAUAGGAUCUGCAUCCUUUCACGGUAUUUAGAAGCAUUCUCAAGUAGUAUUUUUCACCGCUUGUUGGUUGUGCAUAGUAAAUCCCGCCUAUGGUUUUUUUACCACCACGUCUCUUCCUCCAUUCUUUCUCUUUUGCAUGCCAAGUCCAUUUGGUUGGAAACUGUGCAUACGUCAAACUGCGAGCUUCCUCAUGCAAUUGGUUGGCUGUCAUCCAUUCUGUGAACAUUGUAUUUUCUAUGUUAGGCCGAGAUAUGAUUUUAUCUAAAUCCAUCGAGUCUGGGAAUACCACAGCAUGUUCAUUUUCUAGGUGAAAUUGUAACCUUUCAACCGCAGGCUCUCUAUACUGAAGAGGAAACUGAAAUAUGCGCCAUGCGGCUUCACAUCCAGAUAUGUACCGAGCAUCAAGGUUUCUGGCCUGGAAUCAGAUCCAGCAUAUCCUGUAUUUCCGGCCAUUUCGGAUUGCAUGUAAAAGUGAUGAAGAGAUCAGGAUAGCCAGCCGAACGACAAAUCGCCAUGGCAUCUUGGUAGUUUUGCUGCUUAUUUCUAGGGCUACCAUUAUAUGUUGAGGGUAGUAUGAUUCUUUGGCCAACUUGUUCAGUUCGUGUAUCUCCAUUUUCUAUUGCAUCAUGCAGUCCUCUGUAUAGUUCUGUCCUCAGCUUUCCUUGGUUUGUUGUGUACCAAUUUAGUCUCCAUUGUUCAAUGCACGUUGCUGCAUCAACUAAGAACUGUAGGAACAAACGUCCACUCAUUUGCAAGGUUGUUGCUUGGUUAAGACGUUGUUGGAUGCGAUAUGAAUAAAACUCCAGCAUUGUUACAUACUUUAUCUUACCUUUGUCGCCUAUCUUUUUUUGAUACUCUAUUUCUGGUCUGAACCCAUCUUCUCCAUAUGGAAAAAGCAAGGGGUAUUGCAUUGACAUAUAGCUUGGGUGCAACUCUGAAAUCCUCUGUAACAUUCUGUCUUUGGUCUCAAUUAUUAUAUCAAAUUCAUUAUUUUCUCCAUCUUGUUCCCCAAUAAUUAGUGCUGCAACUUCUGAGGCAGAUGGGAGGCUGUAUUGCCGUCCAUCUUUCGACCUUUUGUUGAUCAAUCUUAGUCUUACAUCUUUAAUAUCUCGGUUUUCGAACCUAUCCCUUGCCAUACGAAACGAUUUGACCAAAACAUUGUGCUCAUCUAGCAUCUCUAGUAGACCUUUGACAAUGUUUUCAUCUGGCUUUGUCUUAAUCUCCAUUGAAGUUGAUGCAGUAAUCCUGUUAUGCACUUCAUUUUCUGUGUCAUGUAUGUACAAUUGGGCAAAUUUUGGUUUUGUCACGUCAUCUUUAGGAAGUAAAGUGCCAAUCUGAUGGUAGUUUUGGCCAUUCAAACGGAAAACAUAUGGUUCAGGUGUCUCCUUAUUAAUUUCAUAGUCAACCUUUCCUCCCAUUGAAGUGAACACGAACAUGGAGUUGUACAACCUGAUGUUCUGGCGAAAAUUGGAUGACUCUCCUCUUUCAUUGUAACGUAGUAGCUGUCGGAGAUACAACGGAGCUUGCUUCAGUGGUGGUAAUUUAAUUUUCCCUUCCUUGCAGCAGAGACCAAACUUUGGAACUGUGAUGUUACGUGUGUUUGUGCUUCUCUCUCCAUGCCACAUAAUGGCAUUGCAAAAUUCCCAAACGCAAUUUGGUUUUCCCAAAUUUGAAACUUGAGUGACAUCCUUUGCUAUAUUUGAUACUUCACAGCCAUUAUUGUCCUUUUCUGUCCUUAUUCGUUUCCUUUCCCUUUUCAGCUGGAGUAUCUCUUUCCUUUUUCGUCUAGCUUCCUUCCUUGCUGCUCUGAUAAUAUCUGAUUGACUAUCAUUAGAUUCUACUGUCGCGAGCUGCGAGGUUCCUUGCUCAGGUACCACAUUGUUUUGAAGGAUGUUGUCUGGAUCAAUCAGUUUCCUGGAAAUAUUCCUGUUCUCCUACUAAUAGUAUGCCAACAAAGAAUUGUAGAUCAUGUACAUGUGUUAUUACCUUUUAAGCAGAGGACAUACUAUAUGGUUUGUAAUUGGCAAACUAAUUUUGAUGAUUGUUCAUCAAUUUCUCUGUAGUUGCAAUUAACAAAGCAUAUGUGAUGAGAUUACGGAGUUGAUGCAUAUAGUAGUGGAAGUUGGUAAUGAAUACCUGCAAGUACUGGCA